GUCCACGCCGUAAACGAUGAAUGCUAGCCGUUGGCCAGCUUGCUGGUCAGUGGCGCAGUUAACACUUUAAGCAUUCCGCCUGGGGAGUACGGUCGCAAGAUUAAAACUCAAAGGAAUUGACGGGGGCCCCGCACAAGCGGUGGAGCAUGUGGUUUAAUUCGAAGCAACGCGCAGAACCUUACCAGCUCUUGACAUGUCCCGUAUGGUUUCCGGAGACGGAUUCCUUCAGUUCGGCUGGCGGGAACACAGGUGCUGCAUGGCUGUCGU
rnacentral:rRNA from 1 species